GUGGGGAAUAUUGCGCAAUGGGGGAAACCCUGACGCAGCGACGCCGUGUGAGGGAAGAAGGCUUUCGGGUCGUAAACCUCUGUCAGAAAGGAAGAACCUCCCAUAUCCGAAUAGGGUGUGGGACUGACGCUACUUUCAAAGGAAGCACCGGCUAACUCCGUGCCAGCAGCCGCGGUAAUACGGAGGGUGCUAGCGUUAAUCGGAAUCACUGGGCGUAAAGCGCGCGUAGGCCGCUUCUUAAGUCGGACGUGAAAGCCCUCGGCUCAACCGGGGAACUGCGUUCGAUACUGGGAGGCUUGAGUCCUGGAGAGGGUGGCGGAAUUCCGGGUGUAGGAGUGAAAUCCGUAGAUAUCCGGAGGAACACCGGUGGCGAAGGCGGCCACCUGGACAGGUACUGACGCUGAGGCGCGAAAGCGUGGGGAGCAAACAGGAUUAGAAACCCGAGUAGUCC
rnacentral:rRNA from 1 species